rnacentral:misc_RNA from 1 species
UCACGCGUGUGCCACUUGCACUA